UUGCCAUAUGUCUGUUUUAUUACUAUUAACCCAAAAUCAUUUGUGUUGAAUGAUCCCUUCUAUGCUCGUACAUAACUGCGUAAACAUACAUGUUGGCCCACGCGCAGUAGCGACAUGGCACAGAUGGUGUUCAGGGUUCAGAUCGGGCCCUGACAUUAUUCCCUUAGUUCAAAUUCUUCUUUCCACCUUUACUCCUCAUGAGCUUUUCUCAUUUCUGUUGAAUUACAAACUACAACUGUGUCGCCUGGUAGUUCAGGGUCUGCAAUGAAAGGUGUAUUUUUGAGUGUCCAUGGUCAGUUCAGGGUCCUCUAAAAGUGUGGGAUAAAUCAGUUCUGUUGUAGUUUUAGUUCCUGUUACAGACGUCCGUGGGUAGUUCAGGGUCUGCGUUCACAGAGUAAACAUCAGUUUGCAGGUCAAACACAAUCAGGACGACUCCGGCAGCGUGUGUGGUGCUGCCUUUACAUUUUAAUCACAUUGAAUUAAACACAGAUCAAUCAAACAGUGAAAUGAAUCAGAACAGACAGAAACAGGCUCGGCAGACCCGGUCAGUACCCGGGUCACUGGGUCAAACCUUCCUUUAAAAGAAUCUGAGCCGCGGUGUUAUCGAUCCGUGUCAGAGAAUAAAAUCUAAAACAUCGAAAUAAAAAACCUGUGAGAGCGACCCAGACCCACAGGGACAGGAGGAAGACCGGACAGUCGGACCGCUGAGUCUUUGUGGUCCUCGUGUCUUUAAAGGGAUUUUAGUGUGGCACAGAGAAGGGACUUUAUGAACAGGGUCACAGCCCUGCAGCUCUGGAUAAACCUGAUCCAGGACCUAAAUGUGCUCCAGAGUCUAGACCUCAGGGUUAGAUGUCCACCUGAAGACAUCUACUCAUUCUUCUUAGACUGAGUCUGCUGGUCUCUGCAGGACGUCCGCCUCUCAUUGAUGAUGAUGAUGAUGAUGAAGAAGCUCCUGCAGACGAAGUUCAAACAUGUCCGAGGAUUUCAGUUCAGAGAGGACAAAACAAGAACAAAGGAAAUCCACAGAAACGGUUCAGACCGGAUCCUCAGACUCCCGUCAAAGUCCUUCAUGUCCACCUCUACACUUUAGGAGGGACACUUGGCGGCACCCUACGGUGGCCGAGAAACGCCACUGCUGCAAAUAAAAAGAAGAAUGUAAAAUAAAGAAGUCAAGACGGAAGUUACUGAUGCAAAAAAAAGUUUAAGUGGAAAGAUUUUUAUUUUUUACCUCCUUUUAUUUUGGCAGGAAGUGACUUUUUUUUUGCAUUGCCUCUUUUUUGCGUCAUUAACUUCCAUUGUGGCUUUUUUUUAAAUCUGUGCGUUUCUUUCUUUUAUUUUUGCAUCAGUAACUUCGGUUGUGACUUCUUUAUUUUUGCAUUCUUUUUUAUACACAGCAGUGGCGGUCCUCGGCCACCGUACCGCCGUCUUU